rnacentral:rRNA from 1 species
UACGAAGGGGGCGAGCGUUGUUCGGAAUUACUGGGCGUAAAGCGCGCGUAGGCGGCUUUGCAAGUCGGGUGUGAAAUCCCCAGGCUUAACCUGGGAACUGCAUUCGAGACUGCAUUGCUAGAGUAUGGGAGAGGGAAGUGGAAUUUCCGGUGUAGCGGUGAAAUGCGUAGAUAUCGGAAGGAACAUCAGUGGCGAAAGCGACUUCCUGGACCAAUACUGACGCUCAUGUGCGAAAGCGUGGGGAGCAAACAGG